CCGGUUCUCGCCUCGGGCAUCGCCAGGCGGGUGCCGGGCGCGAGGAUUGCAAAUCCGGCGUCGCGCAGUUUUUUCGCAAGUUUGGCCCGACGGUGAGGAAGCGGCCCGUGGGCGUCCACGUCGCGCCGGACGGCCAGCAAGAGGCCGCAGAUGACCUCGACGAGUGCUGGCAGCCCGACAAGGAACAGGUCGGCAUGGGGACCGUCUAGACGACCGAAGCCCUUUUUGAUACCAUCGACCACGCUGUCCAUGAGACCACCUAUUAACCGGGCAUGCGUCUUGUCCAUGAGCCGGAUGUUGGCCUCACCAGUCGACACCACACGAGGCCACGCCGUGUACGCCACGCGCAUCAACAUUGGAGAUCCGUAAAGACCGGCGUGGCGCGCCAAGUCAUGAGGGUCGAGGAGGCUGCACUGUAAAAGGGCCAUCGCGCCACAAGGGGGACCGUCGUAGAUGAACGGGUCUGGUUCGUCUAGUUUUGGGAUGUCGUGGAGCCGGCGCCCACAGCGUGUCAUCGCAGCGCCACACCCGAGGGCGCACGCCAUAGCCAGGGCGGCCUCGAUUUCCGUCUGGUCACUUUGUGGCAGAGACAUCAACAGCGGCAUGCGCCGGCAUAGAAAUAACAGCGGCCGUAGUCCCGGCAACGGUCCAUGGUCAAAGGAGGGCGUGAUCCACUCGGCCUCGGGAUCACAGGGAUGGCCGUCGUGGCGCUGACGCAACCAAAGACUGCCGGCCAGGGCGACACCAUUCGAGAGUCGGCGUGGCGAUUUCCUGUCGUCCUCUUGCAGGGCCUCGAUGAUCCGCGCAUAGUGGAUAGACGAAGCCAAGGCCACCGACCCAAUGUCGCACGCGUCCACAUGCGAAAGCACCUUGACGAGCAAGAAAGGAUGGUGGUCCCACAGUCGGGUCAACAGGUCGCUCUGGCGGAAUCUCUCAAUGGCAACUGGCGGACAGGGUCGACUAACAUGUUGGACCUCUGCGCCGCCAAUGUCGAGACCGUCGAGCACCGCUGCAUGCGAGUGAUCGCCCAGAUCGCCAAGGAUCGAUGCAAUCUUGAGGGUUGCGACGGUCAUCUUUUUUGGCGGCAGUAUGGGGCCAGCCGAGGCCCAGCGCGUAGCCACGAGAGAAGCCAGCACAUAGGCGAUGACGUCGCGCGUGGUCCCGCGGUGACCGUCGAGCGCGUGGGCUAAUCGUUCUGCUACCGUAUCGAUUAUGUCGCGGUUGACGUUGAGCCUUGAGUGCCAAUUGAGCGUAUCCAUGGCGCUCUUGUGCCCGCGCACAAGCGUCGGCAUGGGACCCCGAUGCAGAUCCGCGCACGCAUCGACCGAUACCGCCGACGAUCGCCCCCCGCCGACGCCGCGUGCAAAGGCCACCAGCACGAGUGUAUCGACCCAGAUCGAAUCGUCGCGCCCGUUCAAAGGUAGGGAGUGUGACCGUGGUAGGUCGCAUGCGCUCAUGUCGAUGCAGAGCCCCUGCGCAAAGGCCCGCCCUGCCUGUAUGCGCGCGCAAUAGAGGAGCGCGGCAGAGCAUGUCUCGCCAGCCACACAGGCGAUGGUGAGGGGUGGGAGCCAGGCGUCGGUGCCGGCCAGUUUGGCCACGAUGCGAGCCUCACGGUAGAGAGGCGACUCUCGCGCAUGCUUGAGCGCGCCGAUGGCCUGCAAGAGCCAAGCGCUGACAGGGCGCAGCGCGUCGCGCUCAAGAAUUUCAUCGACGAGGCCGCCAUAGGCACGCGCCAGCGAGGCCAUGCGCAUCGCGAUAUCCAGGCAAUGGUUCAUGGCCACAUCAUCACCGGCAGCCGCGGCAUCGGCGAGUGUGCCGUUGAGGUGCAUCGUGCUGCGCAUGUCGUCCAGCGCGUAAACGAGUUUCAGGGGCACGGACGACGGUGGCGGUGGGUCGUCUGCCGUGCCGAGGCAAAAGAGUUUUUCGGCGGCUCGUACGAUUCUGUGGGCACGCUGCAGACAUAGGGGGAGAGACCAUGAAAGGUUGGUAUCUCGCUCGACGAGCGCCGAGAACGGCUUGCGUUGCCACCAUACGCCACCCAGGGCGAGUGGGUCGGGCAGACUCUGACUGGAUUUUGCGUGCGCCAUCCGCGCCAUCAAGCGGUCCAGCGUCCCAUAGGAGAUAUCGACGAAUCCGUUCUCGGAUGCACCGUUGGUCGGACCGGCCAGCCGAGUUGCGGUGUCGAGUGCGUCCAUCGAGGACGGCGCCGUGUUGAACAAGUCACUAAAAUCUGUCGCCGCAUUUUUUUGUGUGGUUUUUGUUGGCCUGGUCGUCUCAGGAUUGGCUCCUGCCGCUACCCAUCCCCCCAUGCAAAACAAUUUUCCC
rnacentral:lncRNA from 1 species